rnacentral:lncRNA from 1 species
CAAUGUUAUAAUUUUUCUUUUUUUGUGUGUUUUUCAUUAUUUGGCUCCUUGUUCCUUCUGCCCUCUCAUUUAUUAUUCCGCAAAGAGCCAAGAGAUAGAGAAGCCGGCUGGAAGACGAAUGUAUGUCAUUGCAAUCAUUUACCCAGCCUAGGAGAAGAUUCCACUUUGAGACGGAGUGAAACGUAUCAUGGAUGAGCACGGGAGUCAUGCAUAGAGUUUGUCUUGGCAGGCUUUGGUUCAGAAGAUGGCAACCCGGAGCCCGAGGCACCAUCCUGUGCUUUUGGAGAAAUGAAGAGAAAAAAGUCCCCUCCCACCUUACUUUUAAGCACAACCAGCUAGCAGGGAACUGAGUGCCAAGGAAUGUCAGGAAAGGGAGAAAGCAGCUGAUCAGGAGGGAGAG